UACGUAGGGUGCGAGCGUUGUCCGGAAUUAUUGGGCGUAAAGGGCUCGUAGGCGGUUUGUCGCGUCGGGAGUGAAAACACCGGGCUUAACUCGGUGCUUGCUUUCGAUACGGGCAGACUAGAGGCAUGCAGGGGGGAACGGAAUUCCUGGUGUAGCGGUGAAAUGCGCAGAUAUCAGGAGGAACACCGGUGGCGAAGGCGGUUCUCUGGGCAUGUCCUGACGCUGAGGAGCGAAAGUGUGGGGAGCGAACAGG
rnacentral:rRNA from 1 species